CUGCAGUUUGUCCAGAGCCCGGCUCCCUGCCAGAAACACACAGGCACAGAACAAAAGUAGAGCUGUCAAGAAGUUGGAAGGAAAAGCCGGUGCAUUCCUGCUUCUUGCUCAGAAGUUUCCCAACUAUGGGGCUCCCCGGACUGCUGGCCAGCGAGUCUGGACACAAACCUCCACAGCCAAGGUGCCUUCAGAGCUGCCCUUCCUGAGAGCCCCUCAGCCAUCCCUGCAGGCUCUUCCCUAUGGAGCCUACCAGAGUAGACCAUAUCAGACCCACAACAGCCCCAUUUGUCCUGACACUCGGCCCAGGAGGUGACCGAAGGUGUCCAGACGGGACUGAGCAGCAGAGGGAGCCAGGGUGUACAGGUCUCCCGGCCUUGCGCUGUCGCUGGAAGAUGGAGGCCCUCAAUGUGUCCGUCCCACUCAACUUCUCCCUGCCGCCCAACUUCGGCAAGCGCCCCACCGACCUGGCGCUGAGCGUCAUCCUGGUGUUCAUGCUGCUCAUCAUGAUGCUGUCGUUGGGCUGCACCAUGGAGCUCAGCAAGAUCAAGGCUCACUUCUGGAAGCCUAAGGGGCUGGCCAUCGCCGUGGUGGCGCAGUACGGCAUCAUGCCCCUCACUGCCUUCGCUCUGGGCAAGCUUUUCCGGUUGAACAAUAUUGAGGCACUAGCCAUCCUGAUCUGCGGCUGUUCCCCUGGCGGGAACUUGUCCAACGUCUUCAGUCUGGCCUUGAAGGGGGACAUGAACCUCAGCAUCGUGAUGACCACCUGUUCCACCUUCAUUGCCCUGGGCAUGAUGCCCCUCCUCCUAUAUGUUUACUCCAGGGGGAUCUAUGAUGGGGACCUGAAGGACAAGGUGCCCUAUGGAGGCAUUGUGUUAUCACUGAUCAUGAUUCUCAUUCCUUGCACCAUAGGCAUCUUCCUCAAUGCCAAAAGGCCACAAUACGUACGCUAUGUCACCAAGGGAGGAAUGGUCAUCAUGCUUUUGCUCAGUGUGGCCAUCACAGUGCUCUCUGUCAUCAACGUGGGCAAGAGCAUCAUGUUUGUUAUGACACCCCACCUGUGGGCCACCUCCUCCUUGAUGCCCUUCAUCGGCUUCCUGCUAGGCUACAUUCUCUCUGCUGUCUUCCGCCUCAAUGAACAAACACCAUCAAGUGACAGCUCUGCUGACAUAGCUGGGACCUCGGCUAGAGUCUAAUCCAAUUCACAAACAGCUGCUACUUUAAGGGAAUAGAUAACUUUGAAAGCCUGGAAUGGGAACAUCAGGCACCCUGUCUAUACAAAGCAGUGCAUGUCCAGAACUUUUGCUCUUUUCAAGCAUAGUAGACAAAUGUUUAUGCAGGAAUUUACAUUAGUAGCACCCUAGCACUCCCGUCCCCCACCUCAAAAAACUUGUGUUUUAAAAAUAUAAUUUUAAAAUAAUUAUUCAUACAAAAAACAAGUUGGGAGUUCCCAGUAGGAGGUGGGGUGGGGAGCUGGGUAAAAAGGGUAAAAGGAUUAAGAAGUACAAAUUGGUAGUUACAAAAUAGUCACAGGGAUGUAAAGUAUAGCAUAACGAAUAUAGUCAAUAAUAUUGCAGUAACUAUAUAUGGGGCCAGAUGAGUACUAAAAUUAUCAGGGGGUCACUUUGUAAAUUAUAUAAUUGUCUAACCACUAUGCUGUACACCUGAAACUAAUCCUCCUAUAUAAUAAAAGGGUAAUAUGCAAAUUGACCCUAACAGCUGAGAACAACCAGUUGCUAUGAUGUGCACUGACCACCAGGGGGCACACGUUAAAUGCAGGAGCUGCCCCCUGGUGGUCAGUGCGCUGCCACAGGGGGAGCGCUGCUCAGCCAGAAGCCGCUGGCCAGCACAGCAGCAGUGGAGGGAGCCUUUCCGGCAGUGCUUAGGGGAGCAGGCCUAAGCCGUCAAUUGGACAUCCCCCAAGGGGUCCUGACCUGCAUGAGGGCACAGUCUGGGCUGAGGGACCACCUGAGUGCACAAAUUUUUGUGCACCAGGUCUCUAGAAUAAAAUAAUGAAUAUCAAUUGUAAUUAAAAAUAAAAAAUGUUACAUAAUUUUUAAAAAUAAUCAUCCAUUUUAAAAAACAUGCUAAUAAAGACCAAAUUAGUACAGGAUAUAACACAUGGUGAUACAGUAGAGUCAAAAGACUGCCAAUGACUACUUGACGUCAACUUUCACGACAGAGUGGUAUGGAUCAUAUACAGCCCCAACAUCACAGCAUCAAGUACCGCCAGAGCAGUCUUCCUCAGAUGCUGAGACAGCUCUCAGGGGUUUUAGUGAAUAACAAUUAUUUUAAUACAUUAAUUACAAUUCAAUGAAUUAAACGUACAUUUAUUAAAUGUAAACAUCCCAUUCUUUAAUUCAUAAAAUGGGAAGCAAAGCUGAGAUUGUAUUCCAAUGAUAGAUAAAUGUGGCUGAAUCAAGUGUAUCUUUUUAAUCAUCACGUUUUAGAGUUAAAGGUAGCAAAGCCAGAAACUUGGGAACAGGACAAGAGCUUCAGAUGCAGGCGCACUGUCAGCAUGGAGACUGGAUGCCAAAAUAUUCAACUCUGCUCCACCAUCCUCAACGUGACCUUCCCCCCUGAAGUCAUCGGACCACUUUUCUUCUUUCCUCUCCUCUACAUGA